rnacentral:rRNA from 1 species
UACGAAGGGAGCUAGCGUUGUUCGGAAUUACUGGGCGUAAAGGGCGCGUAGGCGGCUUCGAUAGUUGGGCGUGAAAUGCCUGGGCUCAACCCAGGAAUUGCGCUCAAUACUGUGAGGCUUGAGUGUGGGAGAGGAUAGUGGAAUUCCCAGUGUAGAGGUGAAAUUCGUAGAUAUUGGGAAGAACACCAGCGGCGAAGGCGGCUAUCUGGACCACAACUGACGCUGAGGCGCGAAAGCGUGGGGAGCAAACAGG